AGGGCGCACGGUGGAUGCCUUGGCACUAGGAGCCGAAGAAGGACGUGACAAACGACGAAAUGCCUCGGGGAGCUGUAAGUAAGCGACGAUCCGUGGAUGUCCGAAUGGGGGAACCCAACAGGUUGAUGCCUGUUACCCAUUUCUGUUAAGGAAAUGAGGAGGAAGACGCAGUGAACUGAAACAUCUAAGUAGCUGCAGGAAGAGAAAGCAAAAGCGAUUGCCUUAGUAGCGGCGAGCGAAGAGGCAGGAGGGCAAACCGAAGAGUUUACUCUUCGGGGUUGUAGGACUGCAAUGUGGACUCAGAAUUUAUAGAAGAAUGGCUUGGGAAAGUCAGCCAAAGAGAGUAAGAGCCUCGUAUUUUAAAUAGAUUCUGUACCUAGCAGUAUCCUGAGUACGGCGGGACACGAGAAAUCCCGUCGGAAUCUGGGAGGACCAUCUCCCAACCCUAAAUACUCCCUAGUGACCGAUAGUGAACCAGUACCGUGAGGGAAAGGUGAAAAGCACCCCGGAAGGGGAGUGAAAUAGAUCCUGAAACCGUGUGCCUACAACAAGUCAAAGCUCGUUAAUGAGUGAUGGCGUGCCUUUUGUAGAAUGAACCGGCGAGUUACGAUUGCAUGCGAGGUUAAGUCGAAGAGACGGAGCCGCAGCGAAAGCGAGUCUGAAUAGGGCGAAUGAGUAUGUAGUCGUAGACCCGAAACCAUGUGAUCUACCCAUGUCCAGGUUGAAGGUGCGGUAAAACGCACUGGAGGACCGAACCCACGUACGUUGAAAAGUGCGGGGAUGAGGUGUGGGUAGCGGAGAAAUUCCAAACGAACUUGGAGAUAGCUGGUUCUCUCCGAAAUAGCUUUAGGGCUAGCCUCGGAAUUGAGAAUGAUGGAGGUAGAGCACUGUUUGGACUAGGGGCCCAUCUCGGGUUACCGAAUUCAGAUAAACUCCGAAUGCCAUUCAUUUAUAUCCGGGAGUCAGACUGCGAGUGAUAAGAUCCGUAGUCGAAAGGGAAACAGCCCAGACCACCAGCUAAGGUCCCAAAAUAUAUGUUAAGUGGAAAAGGAUGUGGGGUUGCACAGACAACUAGGAUGUUGGCUUAGAAGCAGCCACCAUUUAAAGAGUGCGUAAUAGCUCACUAGUCGAGUGACCCUGCGCCGAAAAUGUACCGGGGCUAAAACAAUUUACCGAAGCUGUGGAUCCCUUAGGGGAUGGUAGGAGAGCGUUCUAUGUGUGGAGAAGGUGUACCGUGAGGAGCGCUGGAACGCAUAGAAGUGAGAAUGCCGGUAUGAGUAGCGAAAGACAGGUGAGAAUCCUGUCCACCGUAAGACUAAGGUUUCCAGGGGAAGGCUCGUCCGCCCUGGGUUAGUCGGGACCUAAGGAGAGACCGAAGGGUGUAUCCGAUGGCCAACAGGUUGAUAUUCCUGUACUAGAGUAUGAAGUGAUGGAGGGACGCAGUAGGCUAACUAAAGCAGACGAUUGGAAGAGUCUGUCUAAGCAGUGAGGCGUGGUAUGAGUCAAAUGCUUAUACCUAUAACGUUGAGCUGUGAUGGGGAGCGAAGUUUAGUAGCGAAGUUAGUGAUGUCACACUGCCAAGAAAAGCUUCUAGCGAUGUAUCAUACUCUACCCGUACCGCAAACCGACACAGGUAGUCGAGGCGAGUAGCCUCAGGUGAGCGAGAGAACUCUCGUUAAGGAACUCGGCAAAAUGACCCCGUAACUUCGGGAGAAGGGGUGCUGAUUUAGGUCAGCCGCAGUGAAUAGGCCCAAGCAACUGUUUAUCAAAAACACAGCUCUCUGCUAAAUCGUAAGAUGAUGUAUAGGGGGUGACGCCUGCCCGGUGCUGGAAGGUUAAGAGGAGUGCUUAGCGGUAACGCGAAGGUAUGAAUUGAAGCCCCAGUAAACGGCGGCCGUAACUAUAACGGUCCUAAGGUAGCGAAAUUCCUUGUCGGGUAAGUUCCGACCCGCACGAAAGGCGUAAUGAUUUGGGCACUGUCUCAACGAGAGACUCGGUGAAAUUUUAGUACCUGUGAAGAUGCAGGUUACCCGCGACAGGACGGAAAGACCCCAUGGAGCUUUACUGCAGUUUGAUAUUGAGUGUCUGUGCCACAUGUACAGGAUAGGUAGGAGCCUAUGAGAUCGGGACGCCAGUUUCGAUGGAGGCGCUGUUGGGAUACUACCCUUGUGUUAUGGCCACUCUAACCCGGAUAGGUGAUCCCUAUCGGAGACAGUGUCUGACGGGCAGUUUGACUGGGGCGGUCGCCUCCUAAAAGGUAACGGAGGCGCCCAAAGGU
rnacentral:rRNA from 1 species